GACGAACCGAGCGAACGUUGUUCGGAAUCACUGGGCUUAAAGGGCGCGUAGGCGGGCUGCCAAGUUUGGGGUGAAAUCCUCCGGCUCAACCGGGGAAGGGCCUCGAAUACUGGCGGUCUGGAGGGAGGUAGGGGCGUGCGGAACUGUAGGUGGAGCGGUGAAAUGCGUUGAUAUCUACAGGAACUCCGGUGGCGAAGGCGGCACGCUGGACCUUUUCUGACGCUGAGGCGCGAAAGCCAGGGGAGCGAACGGG
rnacentral:rRNA from 1 species